AGCCUCAUGUCCUCACACAAGGGGCAGCCUAAACAAGAUGGGAGUAUCCAGUUUGCCCUGAUUUUGUGAUAUGAUGCACAUCCUGUGGCAACACACACCCCUCCAUGGGACACCACUAUGAGGGUUUCCCUUGGGGUCAUGCGUGCUGUGAAGAGUGGCCAGGAAAAAGAAGAACACACUUGGCAAAAGGCAACAUGGGAGGAAGAGAUCUGCACUCAGAGAAUUGACUCCCAUGCAGUGAGGAGUUUGGGGAUUUUUUUUGAUGUCUUGAAUACAUUAUCCUGGAGGUGCUACUCCCAUUGGUGACAGGACCAUGCUGUGAAUUUGCUCUGUUAGAAACAAAAAUGGAUUUCCCUCUGUAACCUGUACAAAGUUGCAUUGCACCCCUGGAGGUCUGCCAAACAACCUGGAAAUAAUUUGAACAACCAGUGAUCCAUGUUGAGUGAUCUUUACCUCCUCACUCUCUGCCUGCUUUUGUUCUUGGUUUGCGUUUUUUCUUUGAUCAGAUGGCUGCUGCUUGAAUAAAGAAAAAUGAAAAAUUGUUUAAAAAUAGUUAAGCACCUUUUAAAGUACUCCAUUAUGACAAGUUAUAUCAGUGAGUGCUGCAAUACUUCAGUAUCUACUCUCCUGGUUUGUUAAUGACAAGUGAACUAAAUGAGCUACAGUGUUCAAUGCAAUGUGAAGGGUGCUUGAUGCACAGCUCCCACUAAUGAUUUUUUUUUUAAAGUGUAGCUCAUUUCCUGUAUUAUGUUAAUACUAAUAUUUUCAGCCUUUCUUACGUCUAUGUAAACAUUAGCUGUUAAUCCAUAGAAGAGCCUUGGGAGGCAGUUUUACCUUUCUAUUCUAGAAAAAACUUGCAAGUCCAGAGUUUGAUCUCUAAUACAUAUGGCCUGAAUUUAUAAGAUCUUCACCACAAAAGGACCAUCUGUUACUAGAAGUGAAUUGUUAUCUCUAAACUUGUGUAAUUUUAUUGGAAUCCCGAAGUAUGGAUUUAGAAGCAUAAGUAUGCUCCCUCUGGAGAGGGGAAGGAAAAAAAAGCAGCCCAAAUAUCUGAAUAUAAAUAUUUGAAUUCACCUCAUCCCUGGAUUCAAUUUAGACCUCUGAGCUCCAUAUAUUUCCAACUUAAUGCUUAAAAAUCAUUCCUUCACCAUGAGUGAAAACUGAGAGUGAAAAACUGCACUUUUUCUGGUGUUAGUAAUCACAUAGCAUGGACAAGUAUCCAAAACAAAACAAAAAAACAAACAAAAAAAA